rnacentral:rRNA from 1 species
GUCUAGCCGUAAACUUUAAUUUACACCAUCAUCGCCCGGGAACUACGAGCUAAAGCUUAAAACCCAAAGGACUUGACGGUACCCCACAUCCCCCUAGAGGAGCCUGUCCUAUAAUCGAUAACCCCCGUUUAACCUCACCAUUUUUAGUUAAUCAGCCUGUAUACCUCCGUCGUCAGCUUACCACGUGAGCGAAACAUAGUGAGCCUAAUGAUAUUAAACCAAUACGUCAGGUCAAGGUGCAGCAGAUAAAAUGGGAAGAGAUGGGCUACACUUUCUAACAUAGAAAAUACAAAAGACUACCUAUGAAAUCUAGUCCGAAGGCGGAUUUAGCAGUAAAAAGAAACCAGAGUGUUCUUUUUAACCCGGCACUGGGGCGCGUACACACCGCCCGUCACCCUCCUCAAAACAAAUUAAUAGUAUCUAACUGUUUAACACACCACAGAAGAGGCAAGUCGUAACAUGGUAAGUAUACCGGAAGGUGUGCUUGGAUAA